GGGGUUGUAGCUCAGUGGUACAGUGCAUGCCUUGCAUGUAUGAGGCCUUAGGCUCAAUCCCUGGCACCCA
rnacentral:tRNA from 1 species